rnacentral:lncRNA from 1 species
UCAUUGCUACUUCAUAACUGUAAUGUUACUACUCUUAUGAAUCACAACAUAACUAUCUGUGGUUUGUUUUUUUGAUGGUCUUACGUGACCCCUGUGAAAGGGUCAUUCGCCCCCAAAAUGGGUCAUGAUCCACAGGUUGAGAACACUUCACUAGAGACUCUAGCAAUGACACUGGCACAGGUCAGAUUCCUUUUGGGAGUGAAGGUUAAAUCUUCUAUGUCACCCUUCUCUCUAUCCUGCCCUAUGCUAUUUAUUUCUCAAGGGAGAUCUGUGCCCUUGACUGAGUCUCCAUGGUGCUGGUCUAUACUUGUUGGCUUCAGUUAUAUAAUAUAAUUUGGGGCACUUGGAAUCACAUCUGAAUUCUUCUUCUGCUUCCAAUACUAAGUAACUAUAGAGUCAAGUAUAUAAUAGGUAUUUAUUAUGUUUUAGUUAGGUUGACUUUUUUCCUUUGAUGGGAUUCUGCCCCACCCCCUUCAAUUGAUCAGAGGCUUGGAGAUCCAAAGCUGCUUUUCUUUUCCUUUCUGGCUGGCAUUUAGUUUACAUCCAUGCAACAUCACUCUUACAUCCAAGUCAAAGAUUUUAAAGAUUUAAAAUUCCUUAUGUCCCUAUAAACUGCUUGCCUCUACCAGUGGUGAAAGAAGGGGAGAGACUCACAAAGCCCCAUCUCUAAAAGAGAUAGUUAAUGGCUGCUGGGCGAGAAAGAGUCAGUUUUCUCCGAGAGUGUGAAUCCCUGUAGGUUACCCAAGCUCCAGGGAAUGAUGGUGUCUGGCGAGUUUUAACUUACCAGGGAGACCCUCCACACCCCACCCCCACACCUCUUAGUGAACAACUGGGAGGCAGGAACCGAUGCAAAAGCAAGAGGAAUUUUAUUGUUCCAGCAUGCUGGGGUGGCCCUGCACGUGAAGGAGAGAGAGAAUGACCCCAUGUAGCACGUUUGGCAAGUUUUUGUACAGUUUUCAGAGCAGCAGCCAUUAGGCAAAAUGUGAUUUGCAGAACAGUGUGACUUUUAAACUGAUUGGUCUUUGGGGAAUGAUGGAUCAAGGACUUCCCUUGUCUGUAGGAAUGUGUCUACGUGCUCUGGGCCUUCCUUAUCUGGAGGAAGCCAUAGCCGGUCCCACCUCCGUGGGGUCUGAGUAAUGUAAUUAACCCCUCCCUUCUGGAGGGGAGGGGUGCCCAUGUUCUCUAUGACCUUUCUCUUCCAAGAGAGGAGGGGUCUGGUGCAAUUUUCCAAAGUUCCUGAGCUGACCUCUUCAAUGGCCCUACACAUACAUGCAUACAGUCAAUGCUAACUGACUAAUUGGAUUACUUUGUGGUAUUUUUGGGUUUGGGGGGCUUUUGGGUUUUGGGUUUUUGCUUUGUUUUUUUUUGUUUGUUUGUUUUGUUUUGUUUUUUAAGAAAUGAGGAUAUGAGUUGGCAGGGAGACAUAUUGGGGGGAGGCAUGAAAGGAGUUGGAGGGAGGAGCAGGACAUGGUUAUGAUCCAAAUACGUAGUACCCAUAUGUGAUACUCUCAAAGAAUAAAUAUUUUUUAAAAAUUGUGGUCAUGCCAAUGGUAGUAAUCAGAGAAAAUUAUUUUCAAACUCAAGAGGCAGACAUUUCUUUGUUGUUGUUGUUUUCCUCUAUGUUGUAACAUUAUAAAAGUUAAGUCCAUAGGAGAAAGCAGCUUACUAAAGAUUAACUCCACUGUCAUUGAAAUAGAAAAUUUCAAAAAAGAACUAUGGGGAGGAGGAAAGAUACACCUGUCCCCUGUGUGCUGUCAUGUGGGUGGAGCUGCUAUGUUCUCAGCCUGAUCAGUGGGAGGCUCCCUCACAAAACAGCAAUGAUUUGCCCUCUCAAAGCUUGUAAUUAUAGGCCAGCUGUGGACUGUGCUGAAGGUAUAGAAUGGGGCCCAUUCCAACAGCUGUGCAUAUGACCAAGCAGGCUGACAUGACAGGUACCAGACCAAUGAGGAGGACCUGAAAGGACACAGUUGCUGAGACUAUAGUUAUAAUUAUCUUCUUUACAACUUGGGGAGAGGGCAAUGCUGGAAGAUGGCAGAGUUUUGAACCAAUCACAUCUCAAGAAAUACUUAGUAAAGGUAUCCUUAAUACUCUGAUACUUAAUAACAGUGUUCUUAAUACUUCAGUACUUAGUAACAGUAUUCUUAAUGCUCUAAUACUUAGUAACAGUGUUCUUACCUCCUGGGUGAUCUCAUUUCUGAUUUUUCUCAGGGGCAAAUGGUUAAGAGGACCUAUAAGUGUAUCCUGGUUAUUCUUUCUCCCACUAAAAGGACAGAGCCUGGAAGAUAAGACUCUUGAGACUUCUGAAAAAGAAGAAGUGUCUACAUACCUCUUCUCAGCCCCAGCCAGGUUACUGGGUUAGCCAUUAUCUAAUUAGUAGUUUCACCCUGGUCUUUACCCAUUCUAGUAGCUGCACUUAUCUGAAAGGUAAACCUUCAAUAGGAAUCAAAAAGCAAGUCCUAGCCCUCUGGAAGCAGAUGCAAAAGAAUCAUUAUGAGUUAAAGUCUAGGCAGGGGUAUAUAGUGAAUUCCAGGCCACCCUGGGCUACAGGGUGAGACAUCUUUUCCAAAAAAAAAAAAAAAAAAAA